rnacentral:rRNA from 1 species
AGCGAACGCUGGCAGCAGGCCUAACACAUGCAAGUCGAACGAACUCUUCGGAGUUAGUGGCGGACGGGUGAGUAACACGUGGGAACGUGCCUUUAGGUUCGGAAUAACUCAGGGAAACUUGUGCUAAUACCGAAUGUGCCCUUCGGGGGAAAGAUUUAUCGCCUUUAGAGCGGCCCGCGUCUGAUUAGCUAGUUGGUGAGGUAAAGGCUCACCAAGGCGACGAUCAGUAGCUGGUCUGAGAGGAUGAUCAGCCACAUUGGGACUGAGACACGGCCCAAACUCCUACGGGAGGCAGCAGUGGGGAAUCUUGCGCAAUGGGCGAAAGCCUGACGCAGCCAUGCCGCGUGAAUGAUGAAGGUCUUAGGAUUGUAAAAUUCUUUCACCGGGGACGGUAAUGACGGUACCCGGAGAAGAAGCCCCGGCUAACUUCGUG